rnacentral:miRNA from 1 species
GAUUGCAAGAUAGAAAUUGUGGUGUGUGUGUGUGUGUGUGUGUAUGUAUAUAUAUAUAUAUACAUACACACACACACACACAUACACACAUACACACA